rnacentral:lncRNA from 1 species
AAGAACAGAGAAACAAAUCAUGAGCUGAUUGCCACAAAAUUUCGGCAUCCCAUGUUCAACAUUUACAAGAGGCAGAACUCACCCCUACUAAUUGCACCGCGUUAACAGUAGCCUCAAGUUAUCUUGACUUCCCAUGACUAUACCCACCUACUAUUUACAAAAGUUGCCAUGACUACCUAUCUACCUACUAUUUACAAAAGUUGCCAUGCCUACCUAUCUACCUACUAUUCACAGUUUUUCCAUGUCAAAGAAACAUUGGUCAUAUCUAAGAAUGUGCAUGGCUAAGGAAUGAAUGACAGCAGACGUUGAGAUGAUGAAUGGGAAGAGGAAUCGGGUACUGAUCCUAUUUCUAGAUUAUAGGUAAUUCUAGGGCCAUUGCUAAGAUACAUAUAUAUAUACUACUUCAAAAGGACAACAAGAAUUUCACUUGGUAAUGAUGAAUGAAACAGAUUUCUUAAAAUUGAAGUACUGGAGUACUCCUAAGAUAUCCAAGGAUGGUAUUGCCACCAUGCAAACACUGGGUAAAAAGCAUGUGCUGCUGUUCUGAUUGAAUACUAUCAAUCAUGGCGAGUGGCAAAAGAGUAUAACAAGGAUAAUGUUGAAGUUUAUCAUAGAAGGACAACAAGAAUUUUAGUUGGUAACGACGAAACAGAUUUCAAAAGAUUGCUCAACAUUCAAGUAUUACUCAUCCUUAGGUAUCUAAGGAUGAUAUCGCCACCAUGCGCAACACUGAAAAAAAACGUGUGCUGCAUGUUCUGAUUAAAGGCAAGCUGGCAAAGGAGUAUAAGGGGCUCUCCCCGUACUGGCAAAGGCGAGAAUCAGCUAUCAGAGCUGACAUACAGAACAAACAAGAACAGAGCAAUCAUCAUCUGAAUGCCAAAAAAUCUCAGCAUUCCUGUUCUCUAUUUACGAAUUCGCCUAAUGGCAGCUUGUGAGCAGUAGAGUAGCCACAGGAUAACAAGCGAUACCUCAAGCAGUUGGAACUCAUAAGAAGAAAUUAUUUAUAGAGUGGACAUGAGUACCCACCCUACCUAGUAUUCACAGUUGGUGUCCAAGAGAUGUAACCAAUCUAGGAACAUACAUGGCCAAGGAAUGAC